CUGUCGUGUCCGCCUCUGCACUGGGAUUCCUCCAGCCCCAGCAAGUCCCUCAGGUGGUCCCAGCCUCUGUGUCCGCCUCUGCUCUCCCAGAGCGCCUCAGGCAGAGCAGCCAGGAUGGGGACCAGGCCCGCCUUACCGGGAAUGAGCCUGUCACCUGCUCCUCCCACCCCGCAGCAGCCUCUGUCGGGCUGACAGUGACUUCAGGAAUGCUCUCCUCCUGCCGCACUCUGGACCUGUUGGCCAUGCUGUUCAACUUAGCAAAUGUUCUUCCUCACCGCCAACCACAGUGGCCAGAUGUGCAUAUAUCACUUCAAAAAAACAAAAGUGGAUGUGGCUGAUGCCAAAGUGACCUGCCCCAGAAGAGCUGCUAACAGAACAGCAUCCCAGGAGGCUGCAGAAGGCUGAAGAGCAGAGCCCACACCUGCUAUGGGCCACAAGAGGCCCUGGAUGCCAUGGAGGCCGCAAGGGCCCAGGCGGGACUUGCAGAAUGAGAGUCCUAGGCCCAAGUAUAGAGUCCCUGGUGGGCACAGAGGAGAGACCAGGUCAGUGGGAGGGGUUGUCAGACCCUGUGGAGUGCCCCACCUGUGUGCCAGGCCCAGAACUGGGCUCAACUCUGAUGGUAGCAGGUGGAAAGUAGACUUCACUACUGUGGGAGUGGGGGCAUUCCUGGACACAGGGGGAAACCAGCUCACAGAACAGCCUGGGGUCUUCUUGGAGGAGGCCAUUUUGGCCCAGAUCCUAAAGGAAGACUGGAAGCCUCAGGGGGCAGUGAGAACAGGGACAAGAGAGGGCAGGUCUCAGGACUGACUGAGCAACUCAGACUGACCUGGAUCAAACUGUGGAGCCGGCGAAGGGUUUAGAGGGUUGCUGCAGGACAGUGGUGUCUGCAAAGACGCCUCUGGCUGCUGUCUGGAAAAUAGACAGGGGAGGCUGGGCAGGGGUCUGGGCAGGGGCUGGACAGGGGUGCUGGGCAGGGGCUGGACAGGGGUGCUGGGCAGGGGCUGGACAGGGGUGCUGGGCAGGGGCUGGACAGGGGUGCUGGGCAGGGUCAGUCCAUCUCCAUCCUGCUUUCCUUUUCUUUCUUUUCAACAAAUAUUGAUGGAGCACCUCCUCGGUGCCAGGCGCUGCUGCAGCCUCUAGGAAAUCAACCGUGGAAACACACGGACCCUGCCCUCCCGGCGCCAGUGUUCUGGUGGUCAGGAGGUGAAGAAAACCAGCAAGAACCAGCACAGGAAUCCGACGGUGGCAGCGCCGAGAGAAACAAGCUUGGAGGGGAAGGAGAGCUACAGAGGCUGCAUGGAUGUGAUGGUUGGAGUGGAAGCUGACAUUGUGGGCCAGGAGACCCUGGGAGUACAGGCCAAGAUGAAAAGAGCCUCAAUCCAGAGCGUUCUGUGAAGCAGUCACCACGGCCACCCUGGGCCAUCAGCUUCUGGACUUUUACAACAUAGAAAUUAAAUUUCCAUUGAAUUUGUUGGA
rnacentral:lncRNA from 1 species